UACGUAGGCAGCAAGCGUUGUUCGGAGUUACUGGGCGUAAAGGGUGCGUAGGUGGCUCUAUAAGUAUGGUGUGAAAUCUCCCGGCUUAACUGGGAGGGUGCGCUACAGACUGCAUGGCUAGAGUGUGGGAGAGGAAAGUGGAAUUCCUGGUGAUAGCGGUGAAAUGCGUAGAUAUCAGGAGGAACACCGGUGGUGUAAACGGCUUUCUGGACCAUAACUGACGCUGAUGCACGAAAGCGUGGGUAGCAAACAGG
rnacentral:rRNA from 1 species